rnacentral:rRNA from 1 species
UACGGGGGGGGCAAGCGUUGUUCGGAAUUACUGGGCGUAAAGGGCUCGUAGGCGGCCAACUAAGUCAGACGUGAAAUCCCUCGGCUUAACCGGGGAACUGCGUCUGAUACUGGAUGGCUUGAGAUUGGGAGAGGGAUGCGGAAUUCCAGGUGUAGCGGUGAAAUGCGCAGAUAUCAGGAGGAACACCUAUAGCGAAGGCAGCUUGCUGGGACGUUACUGACGCUGAGGCGCGAAAGCGUGGGGAGCGAACAGG